rnacentral:tRNA from 1 species
UCCCUGGUGUUCCAGUGGCUGAGACUGCACUCCCAAUGCAGGGGGCCCAGGUUCGAUCCCUGGUCAGGGAA